rfam:Botryotinia fuckeliana T4 unplaced genomic scaffold Contig_9708_V3__V4, whole genome shotgun sequence.
GUCUUCGUGGCUCAGUUGGUUAGAGCGUUGGUCUCAUAUUCCUAUAUGAGGUAGUUGAAAACAAUUACUGUGCCAUCCAAAGGUCGAGAGUUCGAGUCUCUCCGAGGACA